rnacentral:misc_RNA from 1 species
GACAUUGUCCGUUCGCGGGCUUUGUUCAGUAAUCUGCAAAGUACUGUUGCAUUGC